GGUACGCUUCGCGCUGAUGGUUCCCGUUACCGGGAUCAAAGGGAACGCAGUACGAGCAGCCAUGCUCCGAAUCUGCGGCUGCCCCCGCAACUGUAAGCGGCGAGUCCGUGCCAUUCAUGACCACUGGAGCAGAGCACCGGGAAGGUCGGCACGUGACAUUGACCCGUGAGCCAGGAGACCUGCCAUCGAACCGAGGUCUGC
rnacentral:ncRNA from 2 species